GUCAAAGGGCCACUGAGAAGGAUGCAAAGCAGUUCUGCAAAGAGAAACAGAGAGUGUAUUCUGCAAAGAAGAAGAUGGAGCAGAACUGAAGAGGAAGAAUUUUCAGGCAGUACAGCAGAUACAGAUAAGUAACCACUGGAUUGGUGUCCACAUCAGAACAAUCACCACUGUAAUUGGGACCCUGGUUUCCAGACUUACUGGAGAGGUCAAGGACUGAGUAGGCAUGGACAGCAUCUAUCUUAAAGUCUCCAGGUGAAAUCCUGACCCUUUUGAAGCCAAUGGAGUCAGAUCAUCACUCUCCAGAUCAGAACUGAGGCAUAUUAGCAUGGCCAUACAAAUGAAUGUGCAAUCUAUUGCCAUCAAUACAUGGGGAGACACAGCUUUAUAAAGCCUUCUCAACUGACCCAGAUGUUGCAGUACCUCCAUGCUGGAUUGGCUUGCUAAAUGAUGCAUCAAGAAG